GCUAUAUUAAGCCCUGUACUGUACAUUGCAGCAUACGAGAAAGACUGUAACCUCCGAACAUGUUGACCAGGUAAUAAGAUAUUCUUGUAUGAUUCUAUUGUUGUAUUGUAAAUGUAUAUUAUGCUGUAAUGAACUCUAAGAUGAUUAAUUGUGAAUUGCUUGUGAUUAAUGUUUGUCAUAGCAUUUGUAAUUGAAUUAAUGUGCUUUAUUUAUUUCUUCAUCACGUGCUAUGCAGAUAUUAAGUUCACAGAAUGAUUGACGAGCUGCUAUGUUGACGUUUUCCAUUCUGUUUGGACUGAUGCUUAUACUGGCAGUAUAGCAUGUGUCAGGAUACAUAACUAUUCUACUAGACAGUAUACUUGAAUUCCGCGGGAUAGUAUAAUGAAACUCUACAUAAUAAAACUCUGUAUAUGUCAGGCAUUAACUGUGUAAAUGAAGACUGUUGUUUACAAAACAAUUCUUCUCUGAUGCUGAUAGACAUACUGCAUAAUGAAAUCGUGUAUUACACUGUCAACCAUGAAUUAACUUAUUCAGUGUGCCUUCUGAAUCUUAGGUAAGAAUGAAAAAUACAUAUUCACAUCCCUCUGGUCUCACAUCUUAAAUGUCUCUUGGUGUCCAGAGUGAAUUGUGUCAACACUGUAAAAGUGCAUGUUCCUGACUCUGAACAUGUUUCUCCAAAAAUGUGUUCCUCCAUCCAGGUCCAGCAUGGAUGACUAAUAUAAACGAUGUCAGUUCCGAAUUUUUAGAGUGUGGCACUAAAUGACAUUCACAGUUUGAAUAUCAGAUUGACUUUCAUAAUAUAUCAGAACGUUGUUGUAUUUUAAUAAUCCAGGAACAUUAUCAUCUUCUGGACACUAGCAGUGCUGCUGGUUGAAGCAGACCUAGAUGCAGGUCUUCAAGCCAUGUCUACAGGAACAGAUCAGGACUCCACCUCUGAUGAGGCUCCAACUGAAAGCAUGAACUCUGUGUCACCUGACCAGCCCAACGAUGAGCCACAGCAUUAUAAUGGCGCCACAGCUGACGCGAGCAGCACGAGUGCAGAAGCAGGUCAGGCUGCUGGGCCUCAAGUCAAUGAUGUGACAGCAGCUGAUGGAGCCAAAUCCAGCACUGAAGAACAAGACGAGAAUGAGAGUCCAGAGUCAGAAGAAGUGGUGAAGGCAGCUCCAGUGCAGCGCGCUACUAAAUCACAAACUGCAAACCAACGCAAGCGCAGUAAGCCCGUUGUGGCCUCCAAAAAGAGGACGAGACCCCUUCGCCCGUGAAAAAAAGGCCUACGAAGUACGCACAUUGAGGAUGCAGGACUACGAUGAGAGGAAAGAAUGAAGCAAUCCUGUAUUACGUGGCAUUUUGUUUAUUGCUUUAUUUUUAUUUUGUUGCUUUAUUUCAAUAACCACGAUUUAGAUGUGAUUCUGUUGUGAUGUACUGUACUGACUGUUUUUGUUUGUUUGCUUAUGGUUCUAUUUGUUGUGAAACUAGCAUUCAGCACAGUCUCAAGGGUGUUUCUCAAUUAAAUCACUCUUCAAAUACGGGGACAAAGCUUGUCAGUCAGGGGUUAAUUCAUAAACAAGACAGCCAACAUCAUCUCAGAUUACAGUCAGGCUUUUGUGGUAGAAGUCUAUUUCGGAUUGGAAUAUAACAUUCUAGGUGUUAACAUUUAUCAUCAGGAAAAUACCAAACAUCUCUCAGAUGCCCGGACUUGAUCAUGCUAUAUUUUCACUGGUGCUGGUUACAUGAAUACCGUGUGUUCAGACUAGCCAUAGCUUCUUAGGAACAGUAGUUAAAAUUUUUUGUUUGUUUGUUUUUGUUUAUUUUUUUUAUUAUUUUUUUUACAACAGAAACGUUGCAAAAGCUUGCUUUCAACACAAACUCAGUGUUUAAAGUGUUUCUUUCUUUUGUGAUUGAUCAUAUUUUUUAAAAAAUAAGAAACAGUAUUUAUCUUUAUUAAAUAUAAUUUUCCAAUAUCAAAAUCAUGAAUGUGUUAUUCAUAAAUAAUUCUUUCUAUAUAUUUGAUGACCGAAU
ensembl:lncRNA